rnacentral:rRNA from 1 species
UACGAAGGGGGCUAGCGUUGCUCGGAAUCACUGGGCGUAAAGGGUGCGUAGGCGGGUCUUUAAGUCAGGGGUGAAAUCCUGGAGCUCAACUCCAGAACUGCCUUUGAUACUGAAGAUCUUGAGUACGGGAGAGGUGAGUGGAACUCCGAGUGUAGAGGUGAAAUUCGUAGAUAUUCGGAAGAACACCAGUGGCGAAGGCGACUCACUGGCCCGUUACUGACGCUGAGGCGCGAAAGCGUGGGGAGCAAACAGG